GAAGAAUGAAUGAAGGCGACGAACACAGAGAGGAAAAAUAAAGGAAGCACGAACGCAGCGAUUUGGUGGUGACGUUCGGUCCCUCGUGAGGAGGAGAGGAGAACUCCAAUCUCCGACGACUCCCUCACGUGUUUCUGCACGUCGUUGGCAGCGAGGAGUUCCGAUUGCGAAAACCACAAGAUCGAAGGCGAGGCAGGAGGCGGCAUAAGGCGGUGCGAAGGAUCGCAUUCGGUCAAUCGAUUCGCGAAGAGAUCGUCUCCGGGAUCGACGAGGCCGAAGAAAUGAAGGUGGGAAGAAGCCGUGAAGCCCUCUUCCUGCCCCGAUGGUGAUGUGCGAAGGGGGAAAGGAACCGGUGGUUGAAUGAUUCAAACGAAGAGGAGGGUGCCGUUCUCCAGCGGGCCUUCCCCUUUGAUUUGGGUCGUCUACUUCGCCUGAACAGGAAGAACAAGGAAUCAAAGAGCUGGUCUGAUCGUUGUAUGUCCGACAGGUAAUUGUAUGGGGCUGCCUCUGCAGCUCCUUCGUGAGCAAAUUCGUACAAAAAAAUCAACAGAAAUUUUGAAGAAAAAAAUAAGGAAUUGAAAUAAUCAAAGAGAAAGUUCAUUCAAAUGAAUUAGGGCAAAAACAAAGAAAUCGUGAGAUGCAGUAAAUGAGGUGAAACGUUGAAUGAUAAGGCAGCUUUAAGGGCUAUAUUUCCUCAGAUUUCUCUAGUAAUCAUUUAAUGAAUAUUUAUGUUUAUCUAAAUUUAAUGAAUAUUUUUAUUAUUUUAAUGACUUAAUUGAUUGUCAUAAUGGUUUAAAAAAGCAAUUAUAUCAAAAACACUUUAAUCAUAAUUUUUUUUUUCUGGGACACUGAUGCAGAGUAGUCACAGUAAUAAAUAAAUGCAUAAACACACUAUGCACACAUAAAGAUUAACUAUAAAAAUAUAUUAAUGUCAUCAUGCUUUAUUCGAUACUAUAUGCAUACUACUUUGACUACUAUGCAUCAGUGUCCUUUCAGAAAAAAAAAAAUUUAUGAUUAGAGUGUUUUUGAUAUAAUUGAUUUUUUAUAACAUUAUGACAAUCAAUUAAGUCAUUAAAAUAAUAAAAAUAUUCAUUAAAUUUAAAUAAACAUAAAUAUUCAUUAAAUGAUUAUAGCCUUGUACCUUCAAAUCUCUCAAAAUUGAUCACAUGGUACAACUAAAUCCUAGAGAAAUUUGAGGAAAUAUAGCCCUUAAAGCUGCCUUCAAUCAUUCAAAGUUUCACCUCAUUUACUGCAUCUCACGAUUUCUUCGUUUUUGCCCUAAUUCAUUUGAAUGAACUUUCUCUUUGAUUAUUUCAAUUCUUUAUUUUUUUCUUCAAAAUUUUUGUUGAUUUUUUGUCCGAAUUUGCUCACGAAGGAGCUGCAGAGGCAGCCCCAUAUGGAUUAGGGAAUGAUACAUUCACUGGAGAUAUGUAAAAUCCAUCAGAUCUUAAUAGCCAAUAACAAUAAACAACACGAAAUCCAAUCCCUCCAAACCUAUCGCACGUUCUUCGCGCAAGUUUAGCAAAGACUUCCAAGCAAUCAUAUGAUUGACCCCACCAAAACUCAGCAUCAAAUGUUGUGGUGCUAUCAAGUCUAUCACAAAAGGACCAAUGAUAAUAAUCGUUUGAAGUGACAUUAUGUUUACCGAGAUCAUCAUCUUUUGAUCUAACAUGCAUAAAAAUAUUAUCAGGAGUACCGUUAAUAAUAUACAUCUUUCAUUGUGGAGUAAAGAAGCAAGAAUUUGUGAUGGAUGGGAAGGAAAAUGCUAGGAUGAGACAAAUCAAG
rnacentral:lncRNA from 1 species